rnacentral:misc_RNA from 1 species
UGGUGACGACGGCGCUGUCGGAUCGUAGCUCGCCGUACCUGUACAAGUGGUUACGGGUACGGGCAUCUAUCUGUGCCUCUCUCUUCCUCGCACACACGCACUCUUCCUCCAUUGCGUUCGUAUCAGUUCACGCUAGUGCGUCUGAUCGCCUGCGCGCCGGCUUGCAUACUUGUCUUUCUCGCAUUCGCUGACGUCCUCCAUAACGCCGUCGCCCAUUUCCACCGAGACGUACGCAUACACGUGCGCAUACGCUAACAGGCGCUCACGCGAGCAGGCACACGUGCGUCUCGCUACCCUCACCUUCUCUCCACCCCUCGACUCGUUACUCUCGGUCGCGGCACAAAACGCCUCGACGUGUGCAGCGCAGGCCAACGCCAGCCUGAAAGGGAGAGGCUUGCUGUACACCGUCUGCAGAGUGUGGCGACACACACAGCAGUAGGUCUGCUGAAGGGGAAGGAUAUAGAAAGGAAGCAACUCACCACAGCACCAUUGCCAUCAUGUCGGACGCGACCGGGUCUGGCGCGCGCGAGGUGACGCGUGCCAGCAUUGUGCUUGGCGUCUUUCUGGGCUUCCUCGUUAUUAUAUUCGUGCGCUUGCAGUUUAAAAGUCGCCAGCGGCUGGCCGAGAAGCCCCGCCGCGACGCGUUCGUGCCGCGUGCCUACACGGUGGAGGAGUUGGCGCAGUUCGACGGGAAGCAGAAGCCGCAGGUGUUCGUGGGGGUGAAAGGGAUCAUCUACAACGUCUCGCUCGAGUGGUACGGGCCGGAGGGCCCAUACAGCGCCUUUGCCGGCUGCGACAGCUCCCGUCAGCUCGGUAAGGUCAUCGUUGGCCGCGACGAGAUCAACGCGGACUGGACCACCCUCGCCCCCGACCAUCUUAAAACGUUGCAUGAGUGGGAGGAGCGCUUCCGCAGCAAGUACCCUGCAGUGGGCUGGAUCACGGACCCGAACAGGAACUUCGUGAAACGCGCGGCUUCUCUCUCACCGUGAGGAAGCGGUAGGGAGAGGGAGGGGAGUUGUUUGUCUGUGUGUGACUGCCGCUGGCAUUGUACAGGAGGUUUAUGGCAUUGCUGGUGGCGGUGAGGGGUAUGAGAGGUGGAGGUGUGUGUGUGUGUGCACUUCGGGGAAGUGGGAAGGGGAGGAAAGAGUUUGCAAGGCUGCGCGACAGAUGACGUGCUCUCUCUUCUCCACUGCUGAAGGAAUGCCACUUGACGCGUCGGGGUUAGCACGUCUCCCACUCUCUUGCCGCCUCGUUCUGUGCCUCCGUCUCCCUCUCUCUCCCCUCUUCACAUGCACUCACGCACAGCCGCAUCGCCGCGACCACACACGCCGUGUGUGUGUGUGUGUGUGUGUGUCGCUCUGUCGCUGCAUCUCCUUCCUCCCUCCUUUUUGGCGCCUUCAUCGUUGGCCUCAGCGCCUCCCCCUCUUUCGACUCCUUCCCUCCACACCCAGCAUCUUCGAGAGCCGUAGGCUAGGUACGGCGGGAGGAGGCUCCGUCCUACCAACUACAGCACAGCGUCAUCAACUUGCACGCAGGCGAAGGAAAAGACAAACGACUGAUGAGGACAUCAUUUGACGGACACGUGAGCGCACCGCCGGUGCCACGGGGGACAGGAGAGGUGAGGAGGGGAGUUCCUCUGCGACGCUCCUUCUCCCGCUCUUCCUACUGCUGCGUGCCCACGUGUUUGCGUGUUUAAGGUGGCCAGUCCUUGUCUCCUACGUCGGCAGCAGCUGCCGCUGACGAGUCUGCUGCCGUAUAGUUGGAGCAGAGAGUGUACGGGUGUUGUGAGCAGAGGGUCGAGCUGAACAGGAUGAGCGGUCAAAGGCAGCAACCCGGUACGAGUUGUCCCUCCUCACCCUGCCAUGCAGGUAAAGGCACCAGUGCACAUCUCCUGCCCCCCCCCCCCCCUCUUGUCCUCCUCUAUCGGAGAAACCACUUUCUCCUACCUUUUG